rnacentral:rRNA from 1 species
CAAUAGCGUAUAUUAAAGUUGUUGCGGUUAAAAAGCUCGUAGUUGGAUUUCUGCUGAGGACGACCGGUCCGCCCUUCGGGUGAGUAUCUGGUUUGGCCUUGGCAUCUUCUUGGUGAACGUAUCUGCACUUGACUGUGUGGUGCGGUACCCAGGACUUUUACUUUGAGGAAAUUAGAGUGUUUCAAGCAGGCAUACGCCUUGAAUACACUAGCAUGGAAUAAUAAGAUAGGACCUCGGUUCUAUUUUGUUGGUUUCUAGAGCUGAGGUAAUGAUUAAUAGGGAUAGUUGGGGGCAUUCGUAUUUAACUGUCAGAGGUGAAAUUCUUGGAUUUGUUAAAGACGGACUGCUGCGAAAGCAUUUGCCAAGGAUGUUUUCAUUGA